CGCCUCUUGAAAAAUAUAAGAGGUCCAGCCUGCCCAGUGACUCUGUUCAACGGCCGCGGUAUCCUAACCGUGCGAAGGUAGCGUAAUCACUUGUUCUUUAAAUGAGGACUAGUAUGAAAGGCAUCACGAGGGUUAUACUGUCUCCUUUUUCUAAUUAGUGAAACUAAUCUCCCCGUGAAGAAGCGGGGAUCUUUAUAUAAGACGAGAAGACCCUAUGGAGCUUUAAAUAAUAUAACAAUUGCUACUUUAUUUCUACUAACCUUGUAUCAUCUAGCAAUAUGAUUAUUAAUUUUUGGUUGGGGUGACCGCGGAGCAUAACACAACCUCCACAUUGAAAGGAUGCUACUCCUAAGCUAAAAGCAACAACUUUAUGCAUCAAUAAAUUGACAUCAAUUGACCCAAUAUAUUUGAUCAACGAACCAAGUUACCCUAGGGAUAACAGCGCAAUCUACUUUAAGAGCCCAUAUCGACAAGUAGGUUUACGACCUCGAUGUUGGAUCAGGGUAUCCUAGUGGUGCAGCCGCUACUAAUGGUUCGUUUGUUCAACGAUUAAAACCCU
rnacentral:rRNA from 1 species